GACGAACGCUGGCGGCGUGCCUAAUACAUGCAAGUUGAGCGCUGAAGGUUGGUACUUGUACCAACUGGAUGAGCAGCGAACGGGUGAGUAACGCGUGGGGAAUCUGCCUUUGAGCGGGGGACAACAUUUGGAAACGAAUGCUAAUACCGCAUAAAAACUUUAACCACAGGUUUUAGGUUUGAAAAAGGCAAUCGCAUACCUCAAAGAUAUCCCGGCGUUGGAUUAGCUAGUUGGUGAGGUAAAGGCUCACCAAGGCGAUGAUACAUAGCCGACCUGAGAGGGUGAUCGGCCACAUUGGGACUGAGACACGGCCCAAACUCCUACGGGAGGCAGCAGUAGGGAAUCUUCGGCAAUGGACGAAAGUCUGACCGAGCAACGCCGCGUGAGUGAAGAAGGUUUUCGGAUCGUAAAACUCUGUUGGUAGAGAAGAACGGUGGUGAGAGUGGAAAGCUCAUCAAGUGACGGUAACUACCCAGAAAGGGACGGCUAACUACGUG
rnacentral:rRNA from 1 species